rnacentral:tRNA from 1 species
GGGGAUAUAGCUCAGUUGGUAGAGUGCUUGUCUCACAUGCACAAGGCCCUGGGUUCAAUCCCCAGCACCCCCC